CCUACUGGAGGCAGCAGUGGGGAAUAUUGGGCAAUGGGCGCAAGCCUGACCCAGCAACGCCGCGUGAAGGAAGAAGGCUUUCGGGUUGUACACUUCUUUUGACAGGGAAGAGUAGAAGACGGUACCUGUCGAAUAAGCCACGGCUAACUACGUGCCCUCAACCGCGGUCAUACGUAGGUGGCAAGCGUUGUCCGGCUUUACUGGCGGUAACGGGCGUGUAGCCGGGUUGACGAGUCAGAUGUGAAAUCCUGCGGCUUAACCGCAGAACUGCAUUUGAAACUGUUGAGCUUGAGUACUGGAGAGGCAGACGGAAUUGCUAGUGUAGCGGUGAAAUGCGUAGAUAUUAGGAGGAACACCAGUGGCGAAGGCGGGCUGCUGGACAGCAACUGACGGUGAGGCGCGAAAGCGUGGUGAGCAAACAGGAUUAGAUACCCCAGUAGGC
rnacentral:rRNA from 1 species